AAGAAAUGCUACCCAAGAAUAUGUACUUUAUAAACAUUUCAACUGUAAUCUGGAAUAAAAUUAAAUAAAUAAGGAAACAGUAUAUUCAUAUAUCUUUUUUGUACUUUGAUGGUUUCACACCACAAGUUCCGAGAUGGUAAUUGUGCUGCAUAUGUCUGCUCUCUUACUUUGUUUUUCUGAACAGGUAGGUUCCGGAAGAUGUCAUGAAGAAUUUCUUUGAGAGAAUUUGCGUGAGCUGAUCUGUAGCAGUGCGGAAGGUGAGCUUGGCUGCCGGCAGCAGCUCCUUUGGCUGAUCUGCGGCGAUGCAGAAGUUGGGUUGGAAAGAAGCACGACCGGCUGCUCUGAAGUGGGUCGUAGGGAGAGCUUCGUAAGAGAUAGGGAGGGAGCUCUAUUGGCCCGUGCAUGACAUCCAACCCAAUGGCAUCAUGCCCUGGUAGGCAUGGUUGCAUGGCCACGGGGAGAAUGGAGCAAGUAGCGUGUGAGGAGUUUAAGAAAUGGGGACAAAGGACAGUUUAGUUAAUUAAGUCUAUGUUAGUUUCAAGUUUUAUCCUUGUUGCGGUAAAAAAUUUAGGUUGGAUUAACCACCAUGUACAUCUUUAAUUACUUUUAAAUAAGAAAUAUAAUCAAAAUAUUCUUUUGAAAUCAUAAAAUUUAUAUAAUUUGUACAAGUACAUGAAGGUGGAACAGGAGGAAGGGUGGGAGAAGAUUAGGCCCCGUUUGGUAACAAAGUAUUUUCUAUGUAUUCCCAUAAUACUGCAGUUUUUUAUAAUACUGUAGU